GUUCUCGCUUCAACAGCACAUUUACUAACAUUGGAACAAUACAGAGAAUAUUAGCAUGGCCUUGCACAAGGAUGAGAUGUAAAUUUGUGAAGUGUUCCAUAUUAGA
ensembl:snRNA U6 U6 spliceosomal RNA